rnacentral:rRNA from 1 species
AUACGUAGGGGGCGAGCGUUGUCCGGAAUGAUUGGGCGUAAAGGGCGCGUAGGCGGCGCGGUAAGUCUGGAGUGAAAGUCCUGCUUUCGAGGUGGGAAUUGCUUUGGAUACUGCCGCGCUUGAGUGCAGGAGAGGUUAUCGGAAUUCCCGGUGUAGCGGUGAAAUGCGUAGAGAUCGGGAGGAACACCAGUGGCGAAGGCGGGUAACUGGACUGCAACUGACGCUGAGGCGCGAAAGUGUGGGGAGCAAACAGGAUUAGAUACCCUGGUAGUCCACACUGUAAACGAUGAAUGCUAGGUGUAAGAGAUAUCGACCCCUUUUGUGCCGGAGUCAACACAAUAAGCAUUCCGCCUGGGGAGUACGGCCGCAAGGUUGAAACUCAAAUGAAUUGGCGGGG